CCCAACUAUCCCUAUUAAUCAUUACGUCGAUCCUAGAAACCAACAAAAUAGGUUCGAACGUCCUAUUUCAUUAUUCCAUGCUAAUGUAUUCAAGCGUUAGCCUGCUUUAAACACUCUAAUUUUUUCAAGGUAACAGUCCUGAUUCCCCGUAACACCAAAUUAAUGACAUCACGGUUCUUCAAGAAGGGAGGAAUCGAUGACGCCAGUACGUACCGAAGGCACGACCGACGCAUCGAUCCCGAAAUUCAACUACGAGCUUUUUAACUGCAACAACUUUAAUAUACGCUAUUGGAGCUGGAAUUACCGCGGCUGCUGGCACCAGACUUGCCCUCCAA
rnacentral:misc_RNA from 1 species